AGUGAACGGCUAGCGCGUUGCUCGUCGGCCACUAUUAAAAUGGUCCUUAAAACGGCGUCGAAACCGAGCACCGGACGCGAUAGUAUGGUCAUGAUUUAAAAUGUCCGUUUUUUUCAAAGAAUAAGCUUGGAAUCCUGACCUUGGAGGCUUGGGUAAAACGACAAAAUCCUAAGCACUUAAAUAAAAUGUAAUGGAUAGAUUUAAUUGUUUCYAACUCUGAAGUCUGUGCGUUGAGGCGAGGAUCGACGACUUGGAC